UGGUCUCCUAAUCCCAUGCACUUUCCAUUACUGUCAGCUUCCUAAUUGCAUGCGGAUUUCCUUAUUCUCUAGAGCCAAGGAACAUCAACAUUCAGCUAAAGAUGCUGCUAAAUUCUGAAUAAAUACAACAAGUCAGCAAGGAAUCAUGUGGGACCUUUUAUUCCUAAUUUCAGAUGACGGCUUGCAUUAAACUCUGGCUCCUGGCCACUGCAGUACAUUGUGACCUUGAGGCACUGUGGGCACACUAGACAUUGCCACCACCCAAAGCCUCAUGCUGAUCCUUGAGAAGAGAGGUCGUGAAUUGUGCCCUUUCCUCAACCUCAGUCUUUCUCAACUGGCUGUUUCUUAAAGAAGCAGAGAGGGGAAGAGGUCCAUAGCUCCAGGCUGUGAACUUCCAGAAAUGCAAGCAAUCUUUCAAACAAAGAAACAAACAAACAAAACCAAAAACAUUCCUUACAGGAAGAUGAUCAUCGUAGACCAAGAAUGGAUGAACAAGGGUAAUUGUGAGAAGAAAAAUGAAAUAUGGGACAGAAAAUCCCAGGUCAAGUUGGAGGUCAGUUUUCAGGAACCAGGAUUUGGCCUGAAUUGUUGUUUUCAAAUCCUUAUCUGUUGACUCUUGAGGAAGGAAGGCAAAGAGACUCAAUAGAAGGCUCAGCAUUGUAUCUCAAGAAAGGUUUAUUUUGUCCAAAAAGAUACUUGGGAAUUGAACAUGAAUACGGGACACAGUCCAUGUUCAUAAAGGCCAUCAGCCCUCCAGAAGAGAGGAUGGAUCUGGAGAGAAGAGAUGGGAUUCCAUGAAGAGGAUCCAGUAGUUGGCUGGACCACACAACCCUGUUUCAGGAGGCAGUGGGAAGUUCGUUUGUGUCUUCAAGAUGUUGGAAGGGGCUUGAGUUCUUUCUUUCUUUCUUUCUUUCUUUCUUUCUUUCUUUCUUUCUUUCUUUCUUUCUUUCUUCCUUCCUUCCUUCCUUCCUUUCCUUCCUUCCUUCCUUCCUUCCUUCCUUCCUUCCUUCCUUCCUUCCUUCCUCCCUCCCUCCCUCCCUUCCUCUCCCUCUCCCUUAUUUUUUCAUCUAUAGCCUUAAUCCAGGGAGCUGCACAAUAUGCUCUUCAGUUUCCUUUCUUCCUUUAUUUUCAGUCAGCAGCAGAAGCUCUUGAGAGAAGCACUGUCUAAAUAUAAGAGUACAAUUAAGAGAAAUGCAUUCCUUUUCCUUAGGAAAACUUCCGUGAUGCACGGACACUUCUUACUCAGCAAGUUUAAUUGUUGCCUCUUUAAGGAAGAUUUCAUUUCCCCAGAGCUGAGGCAGAGGGAUGAUGCUAGGAGUCUGGUAAGCCCCUAAGAGUGAGAGAUAUGGCAUUUUUGUGGACAGAGAGACCUUACAGGACCAGCACUUCUCUUUCCCAAGAGGGUUGUGCUCUUCUGCAGUUUUAGAACAUGGUCCCCCUGUGAUUGCCUGGGACCUUCCUCCCAGGCGGGAGCUCACUUAAUCUGAUCUAACCUAAACUAUAGCUAUCAGGGUGUGAGGAACACCAUCUUCUAAAAAAAAUUAUUUCUUAUUAUAACCGCUUUUACUCUACAAAUUAAUGUGAUUCAUUAUAUUCAUUAAUAAAUGUUUCUUUAAUAAUGUCCACCACUCAACUUUCUUAGCCUUUUUUACCUUCUUUUCUCCAAAUCUGUAAUAAGCCAGAUCUACUUUCAGGCCACCCCUCCCCAACUCUGUGCCCACCGCUGCCACCCCCACCCUCCCCCUGACUAUUGUUUUGUUUCCGUGUAAGAAUGUAAACUUCUCUUUCUGUGUGGAAACACUUUCAGCCCAGGGUGCCAUGCUCAUCCCAGAUGGACCCAAGACACCCAUUUCUUCAUUCGCAACAAAGAGUGAGCUAACAUCUAGGGAAUGCAGUUGGACUUCAUAGAAGAAUAAUAUCAGGGGACUUGGGCUCCAGCCCUAGCUCCGUUAUUCAGUGAAGCUCAGAGAUUGUUAAUGAUCAUGGUGCGUCCAAGUUCUCUGAGCUAAAUCUACAACUGGUCAAUCGACGGGAAUUGGAUCGCACUCUUCAAGGUCCUUUGAACUCUAACAUUUUGUGUCUGAGUGUGAUAUAUGGUGACCUUCCAAUGCUCUCAAGUAUUUGCCUAUUUUGUCUAAUUUCCUCUCUUAUACCCCAUUUUCUGUAGAGGAUUUUGAAGGGCUUAGACUGGUGGCACAUAAAGCCACUAGUUUUCAGAAUAAGAAAACACUUCCUUGAGCAUUUUGCUUAUAGUUUAUGACAUAAUUUUAAUUUUAAAAUCAAGUAAGAAUGACAGGAUUCUUAAAGCCUGGUGUGGUAAUGUAUACCCUUAAUUCCAGCACUCUGGAAACAGAGAUAGGUAGGUCUAUAUGAGUUCCAGGUAAGCCUGGUUUACAUAGUGAGUUCCAGGUCAGGCAAGACUACCUACUGAAAUUCUGUUUCACAAAACAAAACAAUAAAACAGUAACGACAGGAUACAGAGUGUAGAGUGUCUGAGAGCUCAGAAUGUCCAACUCUAUGCAUAUGCUAGAAAAUGAUCUUCCAUGAGAAGAUGCUGUGCCCUGGGUAUGUGAUGGAACCAUGCUGGUGUUAUCUCUGGACAUGUGUUUACAGCAUGCUCAGUGAAGAGUGGUACCCUCAGAAGCAUAGCUGGAUAGGAAGAUGUGAGAUGAAAGCAUGAAGGGAAAUAGAUCUACACAAUAGGCUAGCUUUCUGUCAACAUGCCCAAGGUAUAGUCUCUGUUUCAUAUGAUGAUGAUGAUGACGGUGAUGAUGAUAAUGAUAAUGAUAUAAACAUUUUCCUGCCCUUUGGUAUUGCUCUCAUUUGUCCUUAAAUACAGUUAAUUACUUUUGAAUAUAGCUAGAAUCUUACAUUUAAAGUAUUUCUUUCCACUCAAGUAGCACCCAUUCUCAAAACCCAACUUUUUAGAAACUUUUAUACUUCUUUUAAACUUUGGUCACAUUUCCACAAAAAAUUAUCUCUCAAAAAUGCUCAAAUAUUUGGCAGUGGUAACACAGAAGGAGCCCAGUGAUGGCCAAAGAGGGGAAAGUAUGACUCAACUUUCUCAGAACUAUGGUUUUCAACUAAUCAGUCCAGAGAGACAGACAAAGGGACUUAGCAACCUGCUCUACCAACCAUGUUCUUUUCAUCAUCUAUGCCUAGUUACAUGUCACACAUUGACAUGUAACUAGGCAUAGAUAAAAUUAUCCAGUGUCCCUGGCUGUAAGUCUCAAAGUCCUAAAUAGGCUGUAUGUGAGUCCAGCUUCUAUUUAGGCUUAUGAAAUAUGAGCUAAUAAUUUUUAUGUUCACUUUCUCACCUUCACAACUCACAGGUUAGAGCAAUAAAGAGAGCAGUAGUUUGAGUUGGUGGACAGUGAUGGAAACUGGGGAUUACCAGGAGAAGUCCUGGGCCUCUUUAAGAAUUUGCUAAACGCAUGAAA